rnacentral:lncRNA from 1 species
GCGAACGGGAAAGUCUGUGUUACUCAGGAAUAAAAUGUUGAUCCCUGAGUGUGGCUACUAAGAUUUAAACAGGUUUUCAGGGAACAGGUGAAAUGUAUGGACUGGAGCUAGUCUCCUAGUUGGUGUAUUAAAUCUGACAGUUUCCUGGAGGUAAAUUUAUUCAUUCUGGGAAAAUGGGCUUUCCCAUAGCCUGGUGUCCAGGUUACUGGGAUGGGCUAUUGCUAAGGAAUCAAGCGUGUUACUGUCCUUCGGCCAACUAGACCUCGUUUUUUCCACAAAAUCUGAAAUAACUUAAAGCACCAGAAGCAGUUAUGGAGACCAGCCUGUUUGACCUUGAGCCGCAGUGUUGGUGAUGCACGGCAGAGGCGCCUGUGCCGCGUGCUUGGAGGAUGCGACAGUCUACCACGUGGAUUUUUAAUAAUUCUUGCAUGUCAUUGCUGUAACGUACAUUUUUGAGGCAAUCGUGAAACUGAUGUGUGUGUGAUUGUUGGUGUGCUCUGUUGUAAAUUCAAAGAGCUUGUUCAAGUUUUUUUUUUUACUUA